UGCCAGCCGCCGCGGUAAUACGGAGGGGGCAAGCGUUGUUCGGAAUUACUGGGCGUAAAGGGCGCGUAGGCGGGAUGUCAAGUCAGGGGUGAAAGGCCUGGGCUCAACCUGGGAACUGCCUUUGAAACUGACAUUCUGGAGUCCGGGAGAGGAUGGCGGAAUUCCCAGUGUAGAGGUGAAAUUCGUAGAUAUUGGGAAGAACACCGGUGGCGAAGGCGGCCAUCUGGACCGGUACUGACGCUAAGGCGCGAAAGCGUGGGGAGCAAACAGGAUUAGAUA
rnacentral:rRNA from 1 species